rnacentral:rRNA from 1 species
GACGAACGCUGGCGGCGUGCUUAACACAUGCAAGUCGAACGCGCCUGUCCUCUGGGUUUCUGGGGGGUGGGUGAGUGGCGAACGGGUGAGUAACACGUGAGUAACCUGCCCCCUUCUUCGGGAUAACGGUCUGAAAGGGCUGCUAAUACCGGGUAUUCACUGGUCUCCGCAUGGGGUCUGGUGGAAAGGUUUUUUUCUGGUGGGGGAUGGGCUCGCGGCCUAUCAGCUUGUUGGUGGGGUGAUGGCCCACCAAGGCUUUGACGGGUAGCCGGCCUGAGAGGGUGACCGGUCACAUUGGGACUGAGAUACGGCCCAGACUCCUACGGGAGGCAGCAGUGGGGAAUAUUGCACAAUGGGCGCAAGCCUGAUGCAGCGACGCCGCGUGAGGGAUGGAGGCCUGCGGGUUGUGAACCUCUUUCGCCCGUGGUCAAGCCGCGACGUGGGUCGUGGUGAGGGUAGUGGGUAAAGAAGCGCCGGCUAACUACGUG